AGCAGCCGCGGUAAUUCCAGCUCCAAUAGCGUAUAUUAAAGUUGUUGCAGUUAAAAAGCUCGUAGUUGAACUUCGGGGUUUACCCAUUGGUCAGGCUUAAUUGUCUGUACUGGUGAGAUAAAUCUCUACCUUCUGAGGAACUUUCAUGUCAUUAAUUUGGUGUGAUUGGAAAUCAGGACUGUUACUUUGAAAAAAUUGAGUGUUUAAAGCAGGCUAACGUCUGAAUACAUUAGCAUGGAAUAAUGAAAUAGGACGGACUGAUUCUAUUUCGUUGGUUUCUAGGAUCACCGUAAUGAUUAAUAGGGAUAGUUGGGGGCAUUAGUAUUCAAUUGUCAGAGGUGAAAUUCUUGGAUUUAUUGAAGACUAACUACUGCGAAAGCAUUUGCCAAGGAUGUUUUCAUUAAUCAAGAACGAAAGUUAGGGGAUCGAAGACGAUCAGAUACGUCGUAGUCUUAACCAUAAACUAUGCCGACUAGGGAUCGGACGAAGUUAAUUUAUAAUGACGCGUUCGGCACCGUUA
rnacentral:rRNA from 1 species